AUCUUGAACUUUGAAGUUAGCAAAUUUGGAAAACCCACGCAACACCCAACCCAUAAACUCUGAAAUUUGGGGACUCCGUGACUUUCUCUCCUUUUGCCCUAACGUGAUCUGCAAUUUCAUGGAUCAUUUCUGGAAAUCGCGGUGGAGCUUCGUCUUCCUUUUGGAGUAAUCGCAGGUUUGUCCAAUAGAAGUUAGGUGGUCCAACUGUGUCUGAAUAUGAAAAGCUACAAGCUGACAUGUUAGAUCUACAAAUAAAGUAUAAUGAGCUCUUGCCAGCGCACCAAGAGACCUGCAGACAGGCAUGACUUCAAUCACUUAUUAUGGCAGCAUUUUGGAUAACAUAUAUUGCAAUUAAUGACUGCCACAUUGUCUAACUGCUAAUUUAUGCAUUCUGAUUCUUUUAACAAGUUCCAUCACACUUGGAUGAUGUGUCUAAUGAAAAGUUUGAAAUGUUCUGAAAACUAGUAGUCACAAUAAGCCCACAAACAUAAUUGAUAGUAACAAAUAACAAGGGAAAAGUAUGUUAUGGGUCUUUGAUAUGCAAAUAACUAUGAUUUCAGAACCUAAGUUUAUUAUUUUCAAGUUAAAUACAAUGGUCCCAAAAAUAAUUUGGAUUUUGAGCACUCCGGGUUGAGGUGUGAUUUCAUACCCAAAUUGCCCUCCCCAUUCAACCAUGUCAGCGUCCACAUCUGAUAAACCAAAAAAAAAAAAAAAAAGAACCUAAAAACAAUACAUCCCUCCUCACAUAUUUCUCUCUCUGUCUUAACUUUCUCUCCAUCGGCACUGAGCUCAAGUACUCUAUUUGUUCAUCUCCCUCUCAUAACCCACCAUUUCUGAAACCCUAACCUCCGCCUGGUCUUUCACUCAAUCUGAAAAACCUAAAUCCCGUGAAGCCUUAACUUGCUAUUUUCCUAUAUAUCCCUGAAAUCUCUAGAAUCCCUGGAAACCAACCCUAACCUCUUUUUCGUGAGUCAACAACGUAGAUCGAAGAAUUUGGGGAAACUGUAGCUGCUCUCUUCGUCUCUGUCUACAGAUCCAGCUCCGAAUCUCUAUCUUCAUCACCAUCAUCAGGUAUCAUGAUUACCAUGGUAAAGUAGCUUCAAUGGCUUCUAUUGGGUCUGAUAUCAGUCCUUCAUCUAAGGGUGAAGUGAGGUCCAUGUACUAUGACAGGGUUUCCCUUUCUCAUGUAACCAGCAAGCCAUCUUUGGGUGAAGACAAGCCUUCAUUUUUUAGCAUCAGAGCAUACAUAAGCUUCAUCAAGCCUGAGCAAACAAUGUGGUACCAGGCUUGUAAGACAUGCAACAAGAAAGUCACAGAUGCUAUUGAAUCUGGGUAUUGGUGUGAAGGAUGUGAAAAGAAUGAUGAUGAGUGCAGUUGAAGGUACAUAAUGGUAGUGAAAGUUUCAGAUGAUAGUGGUGAAGCUUGCCUUGCUCUGUUUAAUGAACAAGCAGAGAGAAUAUUUGGGUGCUCUGCUGAUGAGCUUGAUAAGCUUAAAUCACAGGAGGGAGAGGAGAACCGAUUCCAGCAGAAAUUGAAGGAAGCUAUUUGGGUCCCUCAUCUUUUCCGGAUUAGUGUUGCACAACAUGAAUACAUGAAUGAGAAAAGGCAGUGGAUAACAGCCAGGGCUGUUGUGGCAGUUGAUUUUGCAGUUGAAUCCAGAUUAUUGUUGGAGGAGAUAUCAAAGAUGAAGACUUCACAAUAGGCUCCUUGGUUUAUUUUGUUAUUUGGAUAAGGGUAGUUAGGCAGUAUGCCUUUAGUUCCCUCUAUAUUUUAAGACACAUCCCAUUGAAUAUAGAGGAAGCUUGAGGACUGUAAUAUAUAUUACAGUAAUGGUAUGUGCAUUCUCAAUAAAAAUUACAACCUGCCUAAGAAACUGUAACAAUUAUGAGGUGUCAAGAAAAUGACCAGAUGAAGGUAAUUAUGAGGUGGGACCUGCUCUGGGUCAUUUUGUAGCUCACUUUUUAUUACACCAGGGAGAAGCCAGAAGCUCCUAGUAUAUAUAUAUUGAUUUGGGCUACAAGAUCAAAGACCGUCUCCUUUUGGAAUAAAAUAUAGCUCCUGUAUAGUAAAA